ACGCUCGACACCUACGGAGGCAGCAGUGGGGAAUAUUGCACAAUGGGGGAAACCCUGAUGCAGCGACGCCGCGUGAGUGAAGAAGUAUUUCGGUAUGUAAAGCUCUAUCAGCAGGGAAGAAGAUGACGGUACCUGAGUAAGAAGCCCCGGCUAACUACGUGCCAACAGCCGCGGUAAUCUGAGCGGGCUGGCAAGGC
rnacentral:rRNA from 1 species